CUGGAAGUUUGUUCCAAAUCUGUGGUGCAUAGAAACUGAAUGCUGCUUCUCCUCGUUUGGUUCUGGUUCUGGGGAUGCCACCACUUGCCCUCAGGAAGGAACUGCAGGGCAAUAAAGUACUGAAGUUUUCAUAUUGUAUAAACCCAUCAGGUCAUUUGAGCACCAGAAGGCAGGAUGAGUGAAAUGUUUUGCCCAAAGACACGACAAAGGUGGACAGAGAAGGAACUGAACAGGCAACACACCGAUUCCAGGACGAACUCACAGCCACCACCAUCAUCCCAUCGUGGAUGUAAGUAUAAUCGAUUUGCUUUAAGCUGCAGGUAGAUUGUUUCCCUAAAACCUGUGAAAAGUCUGUUAACCAGGAAACUAGUCAAUAUAACUAAAUGUCCAUCUUUUGAUGGUGCCUGGUUCUUCAUCAGUUUUAUAACCUAAAAAUCAUGUUUUAUUCUCACCUGCUCUCUGAUUUGUGUGCAUAACUUUCAGGUGAGAAGGUUAGAUGUAAUAUAUCAUUUUGUUCAGACAGCAGGAAACCUUAAAAAGGAGCUGCAGUUCAAACUUUUCACAUUCAGUUUGUUCUCUGCUGU